rnacentral:rRNA from 1 species
UGCCAGCACCCCGAGUGGUCGGGACGAUUAUUGGGCCUAAAGCAUCCGUAGCCGGCCUUACAAGUCCUCCGUUAAAUCCCGCUGCUUAACAGAUGGGCUGCGGAGGAUACUAUAAGACUAGGAGGCAGGAGAGGCAAGCGGUACUCAGUGGGUAGGGGUAAAAUCCGUUGAUCCAUUGAAGACCACCAGUGGCGAAGGCGGCUUGCCAGAAUGCGCUCGACGGUGAGGGAUGAAAGCUGGGGGAGCAAACCGG